rnacentral:rRNA from 1 species
AACGAACGCUGGCGGCAGGCCUAACACAUGCAAGUCGAGCGAGGACUUCGGUCCUAGCGGCGGACGGGUGAGUAACGCGUGGGAACGUGCCCUUCGCUUCGGAAUAGCCCUGGGAAACUGGGAGUAAUACCGGAUGAGCCCUUUGGGGGAAAGAUUUAUCGGCGAAGGAUCGGCCCGCGUUGGAUUAGGUAGUUGGUGGGGUAAUGGCCUACCAAGCCGACGAUCCAUAGCUGGUUUGAGAGGAUGAUCAGCCACACUGGGACUGAGACACGGCCCAGACUCCUACGGGAGGCAGCAGUGGGGAAUCUUAGACAAUGGGGGAAACCCUGAUCUAGCCAUGCCGCGUGAGCGAUGAAGGCCUUAGGGUUGUAAAGCUCUUUCAGCUGGGAAGAUAAUGACGGUACCAGCAGAAGAAGCCCCGGCUAACUCCGUG